UAAUAAUUUGAAUUGUGUAAAAAAUAGUCAAACUUCCAAAUAAUAUUUUUCUCAAAUAACUACAGGUAGCCUCUGUUGAAGGUAAAAAUGUAUAUCUUCAGUACAUGAAGUGUCAAUCCGUUGACCUGUACUCCUGGCCUGAUGGCGA